UACGUAGGGUGCGAGCGUUGUCCGGAAUUAUUGGGCGUAAAGGGCUCGUAGGCGGUCUGUCGCGUCGGGAGUGAAAACUCAGGGCUUAACCCUGAGCCUGCUUCCGAUACGGGCAGACUAGAGGUAUGCAGGGGAGAACGUAAUUCCUGGUGUAGCGGUGAAAUGCGCAGAUAUCAGGAGGAACACCGGUGGCGAAGGCGGUUCUCUGGGCAUUACCUGACGCUGAGGAGCGAAAGUGUGGGGAGCGAACAGG
rnacentral:rRNA from 1 species